rnacentral:rRNA from 1 species
CCUACGGGAGGCAGCAGUAGGGAAUAUUGGUCAAUGGACGAGAGUCUGAACCAGCCAAGUAGCGUGAAGGAUGACUGCCCUCUGGGUUGUAAACUUCUUUUAUAAAGGAAUAAAACGACGCACGUGUGCCUUUUUGCAUGUACUUUAUGAAUAAGGAUCGGCUAACUCCGUGACAGCAGCCGGGGUAAUACGGAGGAUCCGAGCGUUAUCCGGAUUUAUUGGGUUUAAAGUGAGCGUAGAUGGGUUGUUAAGUCAGUUGUGAAAGUUUGCGGCUCAAACGUAAAAUUGCAAUUGAUACUGGCAGUCUUGAGUACAGUUGAGGUAGGCGGAAUUCGAGGUGUAGCGGUGAAAUGCUUAGAUAUCACGAAGAACCCCGAUUGCGAAGGCAGCUUACUAAACUGUGACUGACAUUGAUGCUCGAAAGUGUGGGUAUCAAACAGGAUUAGAUACCCUUGUAGUC